rnacentral:rRNA from 1 species
AUUUGGUUAAGUUAUUAAGGGCAUACGGUGGAUGCCUUGGUACGAGAAGUCGAUGAAGGACGCGAUUACCUGCGAUAAGCCUCGGAUAGGUGGAAAUAACCUAAUACCCGGGGAUUUCCUAAUGGGGCAACCCGUCAUGAGUAAUGUCAUGACAUCUUCACCUGAAUACAUAGGGUGUAUGAAGACAACCCGGGGAACUGAAACAUCUCAGUACCCGGAGGAAGAGAAAACAAUAGUGAUUUCCUUAGUAGCGGCGAGCGAAAAGGAAACAGUCUAAACCUUCUAACAUGUUAAAGGAAGCAACCGUUGUGUUAGAGGUGUUGUGGGAUAUAUUCUGGCUGAAUUGCUAAUAAGUCGGAGAGUAAAAAAUUAUACUAUUAACUAAAUGUUCUGGAAAGUUCAACCAUAGAAGGUGAUAGUCCUGUAAGUGAAAAUAGUAUAACUCUCUGGGAUGUAUUCCCAAGUAUCACGGAGUAAGUGGAAGUCUGUGAAAAUCCGGGAGAACCAUCUCCUAAGACUAAAUACUCUCUCGUAACCGAUAGUGAAUCAGUACCGUGAGGGAAAGGUGAAAAGAACUCCUAGUAGGAGAGUGAAAUAGUACCUGAAACCGUAUGCUUACAAACGGUUGGAGUCCCGAUUUAUCGGGAUGACAGCGUGCCUUCUGGAUAAUGAGCCAACGAGUUACUCGUGUGUGGCAAGGUUAAAGGCUUUAGGCCAGUAGCCAUAGCGAAAGCGAGUCCUAAAUGGGCGUUUUAGUUACAUGCGGUAGACGCGAAACCGAGUGAUCUACCCUUGUCCAGGAUGAAGUGAGGGUAAAACCUCAUGGAGGUCCGAACUAGUGUGGGUUGAAAACCGCUUGGAUGAGGUAAGGGUAGGAGCGAAAGACCAAUCAAACUCGGAAAUAGCUCGUAUUCCUCGAAAUAGCUUUAGGGCUAGCCUCGAGUAUAUAGUGUAACGGAGGUAGAGCACUGAUUGGGCUAGGGCUGUCACAACGGUACCAAACCCAGACAAACUCCGAAUUCCGUUUACAUGUUUCUCGGGAGUCAGGCAGUGGGGGAUAAGCUUCAUUGCCAAAAGGGAAACAACCCAGACCAACAACUAAGGUCCCUAAAUAGUAGUUAACAGAGAAAGGAUGUUCAAUUGCUCAGACAACUAGGAUGUUGGCUUAGAAGCAGCCAUUCAUUUAAAGAGUGCGUAAUAGCUCACUAGUCAAGCGAUCGAGCGUCGACAAUUUCCGGGACUUAAACUACUUACCGACGUUAUGGUCCCGCCUAUGGCGGGAGGUAGAGGAACAUUCUAUAUGCAUUGAAGGUGUGUUGCGAGACAUGCUGGAGUUUAUAGAAAAGCAAAUGUUGGCAUAAGUAACGAUAAGAUCGAUGAAAAAUCGAUCCACCGAAAAUCUAAGGUUUCCUGAGCAAUGUUAGUCAUCUCAGGGUUAGUCGAUUCCUAAGCCGAGGCUGAAAGGCGUAGGCGAUGGAAAACAGGUUAAUAUUCCUGUACCUGGUAAAUUUCGUUUGAACAUAAGGAGUGACGCAGGAGUGAAGGUUAGCCACCUGUUGGAUUAGGUGGUCUAAGCGUGUAGGUUUGAGAUGCAGGCAAAUCCGCAUCUCUUUAAGACCGAGACGUGAACGGGAUGGCUUUGCCAAUAAACUAACCGUAAUCAUACUGCCGAGAAAAACUUCGUAUGUAAGAAAUUUAUCAGAUCGUACCGUAAACCGACACAGGUAGAUGGGAAGAGUAUUCUUAGGUGCUCGAGUGAGCCGUGGUUAAGGAACUCGGCAAAUUAACCCCGUAACUUCGGGAAAAGGGGUGCCCCUAGUAAGUGAAAUCCUUGCGGAUGUAGCUGAAUGGGGCCGCAGUGAAAAGGCCCAAGCGACUGUUUAACAAAAACACAUGUCUCUGCGAAGUCAAUCAAGACGAUGUAUAGGGACUGACACCUGCCCGGUGCUGGAAGGUUAAGAGGAGAUGUCAUCGCAAGAGAAGCAUUGAAUCGAAGCCCCAGUAAACGGCGGCCGUAACUAUAACGGUCCUAAGGUAGCGAAAUUCCUUGUCGGGUAAGUUCCGACCUGCACGAAUGGUGUAACGAUUUGGGCACUGUCUCAACCACGGGCUCGGUGAAAUUGUGGUACCGGUGAAGACGCCGGUUACCCGCAUAUGGACGGAAAGACCCCGUGCACCUUUACUGCACCCUAAUAUUGGGUUCGGAUAAAGCAUGUGUAGCAUAGGUGGGAGGCUUUGAAACCGGGACGCUAGUUUCGGUGGAGCCAACAUUGAAAUACCACCCUUGUUUUAUUUGGAUUCUAACCUCGAUCCAUGAAUCUGGAUUAGGAACAGUGUUAGGCGGGUAGUUUGACUGGGGCGGUCGCCUCGACCGCAUUAUAAAUGAGGGGCGUUCGCAUGGUAACAUGCGUUUCAUAAUCUGGCUGUAUGCUGGAACAUCCGUUCACAAAUCCUUCAUAGUAAGAAUUUAGUGAUGUAGAAUCUGUUGGGACUCGUCUCAAUUAUAUUGAGGCAGUAAAACUUCAACAGUGCGGACAAUCAGCAGGGAAGUCUGCCGUCGGCGGACCCCUCAACGACUAUACGCCGGACCCCCAAUUUCGGGGGAUGAUAUAGUCUGAUCUUCAUAGCGAUAUGAAGUUCCGAUUUGAUCGGGAUUCCAAAGUCAACAAUAUAUAAACUCUUAAAACUAACAUGCAUUCACGUAAAAUUGAAAGAACUAAAUCAUCAUUGAAGUUAAGUGAUGAACAGCGUGAGGUUCUAGUUGGAUUACUUCUCGGAGAUGCUCAUUUAGAAACACAAAAUGAUGGCAAAACAUACAGAGCAAAAUUUGAAUACAGCAUUAAACAUAGAUUGUAUGCAAAUCAUCUGUAUGAAAUUUUUAGAGAGUGGGUUCUAACCCCUCCUCAAAUAAAGCAGGAUAAAACUCAUAAUAAUAUAUGGUUUCAGACUGUAAGCCAUGGUGCGUUUCGCUUCUAUGCACAUCAAUUCUAUGAUGGCAAGAAUAAAUGUGUUCCGAAAUUAAUUCAUCAUUAUCUUACUAAUAAAUCAGUUGCUUACUGGUUUAUGGAUGAUGGUUCAAUCAAAUCACAUGAAUCAAAAGGUGUUAUUUUCAACACCCAGUAUUUUGUUAAAAGAGAUGUGCAGCGGUUGAUAAAAUGUUUGCAAAAUUACUUCGACCUCGAAGCAAGCGUUCGCAAACAGAAAGAUGGACUUCAGAUUUACAUUUCCGGGAAAUCAUACGAACGAUUUCUUGAAAUAGUUUUUCCUUAUGUUCAUACAUCAAUGCACUACAAAAUUCCGGUCUGCAGAAGAAGCAGACAAGUUGACAGGAAAACAUAAUGCCUAAAAUGUAACGGAGGCUCUCAAAGGUUCCCUCAGCAUGGUUGGUAAUCAUGCGGCGAGUGUAAAGGCAAAAGGGAGCUUGACUGCGAGACUUACAAGUCGAGCAGGUGCGAAAGCAGGACUUAGUGAUCCGACGGUAGCGAGUGGAAGUGCCGUCGCUCAAAGGAUAAAAGGUACGCCGGGGAUAACAGGCUGAUCUUACCCAAGAGUUCAUAUCGACGGUAAGGUUUGGCACCUCGAUGUCGGCUCAUCGCAUCCU